GUCCCCGUAGCUUAUCACAAAGCAUGACACUGAAGAUGCCAAGAUGGUUUCCCUAACCCGAGGACA
rnacentral:tRNA from 1 species